UUCGCUCCAUUCCUUGGAAGGCUAUAUUAUUAUUUUUGAAGCCCGCUUAAUUGAGUCGAGCCUUGUUUUUGGUCCACCACUUAACCCUAACCUAACUUACCUAUUUUGAACAUUUACUUGGCAUAUAAUCCCUUCCUUCUUCUCGGCCUCUAUAGUGUGCCAAUUCCCUUUCUCUUUGUGAGACUUCCUCUCGGCUCCUUCCUCUACUUCACUGUGACCUUUGUGGUUAAUCUUUGUGAGCACAUUAUUGGACUUCUCCUUCUCAAAUUUAUAGCAACCGGAGUGGGGCGGCGGCAGUGGUGGUUUUGGAGUUGUCUCAACCUUGGUAGUGUCGAUGUUUUGGUAAACUGAGCCCAAUUUUGCACUUGGCGGAGGUGGAAAUCAACCCUACAUCUGGUAUCAGAGCGCUAGUAACUUUUCCUAGCCUGAAAAUCAGCAAAAAUCGACGGAGGAGUCGCGGGUUUGGAUGUAAAACCGUGACUGCAAUCCUCGUUUCCGGCCAAUUCAGUCACUUUUCGGCGAAACCGAUCUCAUAUUCGGGACCAGCAGGUUGAGGCACCCCUUCGUGUGUGGCGCGUGGCAGGGACGGCGAUUCCGGGCAAACUUCCUUCGGGCAGUUUGCUCAUUUUAAUCCCCUGAACGCACUAACACUGUUUCUUUUCUGUUUCAGGUUAUACAGAAAAAAUUGGACAAUUUUGCCCCUGGUGGAUCGACGGUUGAAACUGCAUAUAUCUACUGAAUUACUUUAGGCCAAGAUUGCGGCCCUAAAGCAAUAGAUUCGCAUCUCUCUCGAUUAUACGGACUCAGACACGUCCGCUCUGGUAAAUUGGCUUAACCCGUUAAUUUUUUCAGUAUUAGCGCGUCACCGUGUGGGGUGACAAUAGGUUGGGGGUUGUCAUUGUUUGGCAACCAUUGCUUAUGCUAGAAUUAGGGUUACGUGCUCUUGAUUGAUCUUUUUGAUCGAGUAUUUGUUUUUGGGUUUAAAAUCAGUCUUGUAAUUCUUAGUGAUCUAAUUACUGUGGGACUAGUUAUCUGCUAGACGUAUUUUUGCUGCAUUGUUAUUUUCACUACUUACUUAUUCCGUUAGAAAUACCGUGACCUUACCCUUUCGAACAUUCCCUUGAUCUAAAAUCGCGAGUCUUACGAAACCCUGGGAAUCUAGAACGGUGUAUAUUGUCUGUGACCCCUAGGACUACUUUGUGUGGUUUGUGCAUUUUUUGACUAUUGUGUGAAGAUGACAACUCACAGUUUUGAUUUGAAAAUUUUUAACGGAAAGGGUGACUUUGCUAUUUGGCAACAAAAAAUGAAGGGUAUUUUAGUCCAACAAAAGGUUUCAAAAGCCAUUGAAGGCAAUUUUUCAAUUGAUUUUUCACAAGAACAAAGAGAAAAAGCCGAUGAGCUUGCUUAUACCUCAAUUAUUUUACACUUGUCUGACGCCGUUUUAAGAAAGGUGGAUAAAUUAAAAAACACUAAAGAAUUUUGGAAGAAAUUAGAAGACUUGUAACUUAAGUCUACACCUAAUAAACUUUACCUGCUUGAACGUUUUUUCAGUUUCAAAAUGGAUUCCUCAAAGGAUCUUGAUAACAAUUUAGACGUGUUUAACAAAUUGGUGCAAGACAUAGUUAAUUGUGAUGAGACUGUGUCCAAAACUUACAAGGCUAUAAUUUUACUCAAUGCAAUCCCUGAUUCCUAUAAGAAAGUUAAGAACGCCAUUAAGUAUGGUAGAGACACGUUAACACCUAAAAUUGUCAAGAAAUGAAAAUUAGGGCUGAAAAACAUGAUAGGUACAUAUAAUGCGGGGUAGAACUCAAUUUAGGCAAAAUAGUCAUGAGGGAUAUCAAACCAGUGGCGAGUCAAGUGGUAAUAGAUGGAAAAAGAAGAGCAAAGGUAGGUCUAAAUCAAAAUCUAGGACUAAGGCGAGAAAAUGCUAUGGUUGUGGAAACACGGGGCAUUUUAUAAAAGAUUGUCAUAAGGAGAAGGGUAAAGUAAAAGCUAAGGAGAGAGAUGAGGUAAAUGUGUUAGUAUCUACUUCUGAUAUAAAUGGUGGUGAGGUCUAUAUGAUUACAAGUCCAGUUGCAUACACUGCUGAAUUAAAUCUAACUAUUAAUUCCCGCAUCCAUGAGUGAAUACUUGAUUCUGGUGCAUCUUUUCAUGUGACGUCUGAAAAAAACUAGUUUUAUAAGUUGCAUGAAUCUAACGUUGGGCAUGUUGUACUUUGUGAUAACUUUGCCUAUACUAUUGCUGGAAUUGGUGACAUAAACGUAAAAUUUGACACAGGUUUUGUGUAUACGUUAAAGGAUGUUAGAUAUAUUCCUGAAUUGUCUAGGAAUUUGAUUUCAGUAGGGAGACUUGAGAAGGAUGACUUUACUGGUAAAAUUGGAAAUGGUAUGCUAAAAAUGAUCAAGGGUGCUUUAGUUUCCAUUAAGGGAAUUAAGAAAAAUGAUAUAUACAUUACUACUGGGGAAGUGAUUAGAGAUGUGAAUUCCUCUAUCUCCUCUGUCAAGAUUGAUCACACACACACAUGGCACAAUAGGCUUGCUCAUGUAGUGGUCACGGGACUUAAGCUACUUAAUGAAAAUGGUGCUUUUGAUAAUGAUUGUGUGUCAGAUUUGCCAUUUUGUGAUCAUUGUGUGCUUGGUAAGCAUCACAAAACUUCUUUCUCCACGAGUGUUAAUAGAGCUAAAGGCAUGCUCGAAUAUGUGCACUCUGAUCUUUGGGGUCUUGCCAGUAACCCCACAUCGGGUGGUAAUAGGUAUUUCCUGUUUAUAAUUGAUGACUACACUAGGAAAGUAUGGAUCUAUCUUUUGAAGGAUAAAUCUGAGACCUUCAAUAGUUUUAAUAAUUGGAAGAGACAAGUGGAAAACCAAACUGGCAAGAAAAUCAAAUUUUUAAGGACAGAUAACGGCUUAGAAUUCUGCAAUAAAAAAUUUGAUAGUAUGUGUAAAGAAAGCGGCAUAACUAGAUAUAAGACCGCUCCCUACACCCCUCAACAAAAUGGGGUAGCAGAAAGGAUGAAUAGAACCAUACUUGAUAAAGUACGUUGCAUGAUAAUUCUUCGAGUGUUCCUAAGUCAUUUUGGGGUGAGGCUGUUAUCACCGCUUGCUAUUUGAUUAAUCUUACUCCUUCUGCUGCAUUGAAUGGUGACACUCCGCAUGAGAGAUGGUCGGGUAAAUUGAGUGAUUACUCGAUACUUAGAACUUUUGGCUGUACAGCCUUUUCUCAUCAAAGUGAGGGUAAGCUGGAACCUAGAGUUAGGAAGUGUGUUUUCUUAGGAUACCUCGAGGGUGUUAAGGGUUAUAGGUUAUGGGAUAGGAGCCAAAAAGGGGUUAAAAUCAUCAUAAGUAGAGACGUCACAUUUAACGAAAAUGAGAUACUGUGUAUUAAAGGGAAAACUAAACCUGAGAGUGAAGUAGAAUUAGGUGAAGAGAAAGACCAGUUUAAGGUGGAGUUAGGAAAACUCAGUCCACCUGCUCCUACUGUUUCAAAUGAGGUGGAGACUCAAACUCAGGAACUCAAAGUGGAGAAUAGUAACGAAAUAGUGACAGAAGAACACUAUGAGCAAGAAAAUCAUUUAGCUAACUAUAACUUAGUUAAUGAUAGAGAGAUGAGACUGACGAAAGAACCUAGAAGGUUUGGUUUUGAAUUUGAAUUAGCUUUUGCCCAGGCUAGUUAUGAAGAACUAACUGAUAAAGAGCCAAAGACCUUUGAAGAAGCAAUAGGCAGUGAUUAAUCUAAUGAAUGGCUUAAGGCAAUGAAAGAAGAGAUGAGUUCUCUAGAAAAUAAUCAUACUUGGGAGCUAGUACCUAGGCCUAAGAAUAAAUAAAUUGUUGAUUGCAAAUGAGUUUUUAAGGUUAAGGAAGGAACUAGCAGCUUGGAACCCCUAAGGUUUAAAGCUAGCUUAGUGGCUAAAGGCUACACACAGAUGAAGGGUGUUGAUUAUAAUGAAAUUUUCUCACCAGUUGUUAAGUUCACCACUAUUAGGGUCAUGCUCGCAUUAGUUGCGCAAUUUGACUGGGAACUUGAACAACUUGACGUAAAAACUGCUUUCUUACAUGAUGAGCUUGAUGAACAAAUUUUCAUGAAUCAACCUAAAGGUUUUAAGGAUAAGUCAAAACCUGAUUAUGUGUGUUUUCUGAGAAGAUCCUUGUAUGGGUUAAAACAAUCUCCUAGACAGUGGUAUAAGAGGUUUGAUUCCUUUGUACUCACUAUAGGGUUCCAAAGAAGCAAAUUUGAUCACUGCCUGUAUUUUCAACACAAUGAGACUGAUGAUAAUUAUUUAUUUUUUUUGCUCUAUGUGGACGACAUGUUUUUGAUUGGAUCAUCCUUUAAGUGAAUAAGUAACAUAAAAGCAAAACUAAGUGGUGAAUUUGACAUGAAAGACCUAGGUAAGGCUAAGAGAAUCUUAGGUAUUGAAAUCGAAAGAGAUAUGUCAAAUUCUGUUUUGUUUUUGCAUCAAUCUCUAUACAUAUCCAAAGUAUUUAAGAAGUUCAAUAUGAGUGAAUGCAAACCUGUCACAUUGCUCCUUGCUAAUCAUUUUGUUUUAUCGAAGGAACAAUCUCCUUGCAAUGAGUGUGAAGUUGAAUACAUGAGUAGAGUGCCUUACUCAAAUAUGAUUGGUUCCAUAAUGUAUUUGAUGGUUUGCACUAGACCUGAUUUAGAUUUUGCUGUUAGUACUCUCAGUAGAUAUAUGGCUAAUCCGGGCCCUGAACAUUGAGAAGCGCUAAAGUGGCUAUUAAAGUACUUGAAGGGUACUAGUAACGUAGGUUUAAAGUUUAGUGCUAAUAAAGAAGGCAUAAAAUUAAAGGGUUUUGUAGAUGCUGACUAUGUGGAAGAUAGGGAUGGUAGGAAAUCUACUUCAUCUUACGUGUUUACCUUAUCUAAUUCAUGUGUAAGUUGGAAAUCACAGUUACAACAUAUUGUUGCACUAUCCACUACAGAAUCAGAAUAUAUUGCCACCACUGAAGCUAUUAAAGAAGCUCUAUGGCUUAGAGGUCUACUUCAUGAACUGUGUGUCCUGAAUGAUUAUGUGGUAGUGUAUUCUGAUAGUCAGUCAUCUAUACACUUAUGCAAAAACCCUAUUUUUCACGAGCGCACCAAACACAUUGAUGUUAGACUCUACUUUAUUAGAGAUAUAGUAUCUCAAGAGGUGGUAAGACUUGAGAAAGUCCAUACCCACUACAACUCAUCUGAUAUGGGGACGAAGGUACUGCCACUGGCAAAGUUUAGGAGUUGCAAGGAACUUCUAAACAUUGGUACAGGUAAAUGAUUUCCAAUUUUAUUGUUUUUCUAUUAGAGGUGUCACUAAUGGAAGACAAUUUUCUUUGCAGGUCAUUUGACACCAAGGUGGAGGUUGUUAGGCAAUUUGUUGUCAAACGACCUCCCCGAGCGAUGAUGUAACCUCGAUUUUUUAUUAUCAAUCGGCUUUGGCCAUAUGAUUGAUUAGUACAUCGACACAAUUAUCGAGACAACACAAUCCACAUUUUUAUGGAUCGUUCGAAGCAACCUAUUUUAAAUAGUGUUGUUCACGGUUUCGCUCCAUUCCUUGGAAGGCUAUAUUAUUAUUUUUGAAACCCACUUAAUUGAGUCAAGCCUUGUUUUUGGUCCACCACUUAACCCUAACCUAACUUACCUAUUUUGGACAUUUACUUGGCAUAUAAUCCCUUCCUUCUUCUCGGCCUCUAUAGUGUGCCAAUUCCCUUUCUCUUUGUGAGACUUCCUCACGGCUCCUUCCUCGACUUCACUGUAACCUUUGUGGUUAAUCUUUGUGGGCACAUUAUUGGACUUCUCCUUCUCCAAUUUAUAACAACCAGAGUGGGGCGGCGGCAGUGGUGGUUUUGGAGUUGUCUCAACCUUGGUAGUGUCGAUGUUUUGGUAAACUGAGCCCGAUUUUGCACUUGGCGGAAGUGGAAAUCAACCCUACAGGCUACAUCCAUGAGCAAGUAUAGAAGGAAAUGAAAUAACCUUCUUUCUCAAUACAAGAAAAUAAUAACAAUUAAUCCCUCUCGUAAUAGAAAAAACUAAGUAGAAAACAUUAAGAAGAAAAUAAAAAAAAAUUCCCCAUAAUUUAUGUAUCGCUCCGCCUCACUAUUUUUCUCUCUACUCUUUCAAUCCUCU
rnacentral:lncRNA from 1 species